GGAUGUGAGGGCAAUCUGGCUGGGACAUCUGUCACGCCAUCAAGUGCCAGGAUUGAUUUGGCUGAUUGGCUGGCUGGGCUACUUUGGUCCUCCCACAGCUGCAUGCUCAGUUGAUUACCUUCUCCAAUAGAGGAAGACCCUUUUUUGGUGAAGGGUAUGCAAAUAGCUGUGCUCCUCUGCUAGAACCUACAAACGUUCUCAAGAACAGCUUCCAGGCCCCUCGGGUCCCAGCUGGUCAAGGGCAUGCCAGCUUCUGGUUCAGUUUUACCCAGUACCGUACAUGAGGCACAUAGCAUAGUGGCU
rnacentral:snRNA from 1 species